rnacentral:rRNA from 1 species
GUCGAACGGCAGCGCGGGGCAACCUGGCGGCGAGUACCGAACGGGUGAGUAAUAUAUCGGAACGUACCCAAGAGUGGGGGAUAACGUAGCGAAAGUUACGCUAAUACCGCAUACGAUCUAAGGAUGAAAGUGGGGGAUCGCAAGACCUCAUGCUCCUGGAGCGGCCGAUAUCUGAUUAGCUAGUUGGUAGGGUAAAGGCCUACCAAGGCUACGAUCAGUAGCUGGUCUGAGAGGACGACCAGCCACACUGGAACUGAGACACGGUCCAGACUCCUACGGGAGGCAGCAGUGGGGAAUUUUGGACAAUGGGCGCAAGCCUGAUCCAGCAAUGCCGCGUGAGUGAAGAAGGCCUUCGGGUUGUAAAGCUCUUUUGUCAGGGAAGAAACGGUGGGGGCUAAUAUCUCUCACUAAUGACGGUACCUGAAGAAUAAGCACCGGCUAACUACGUGCCAGCAGCCGCGGUAAUACGUAGGGUGCAAGCGUUAAUCGGAAUUACUGGGCGUAAAGCGUGCGCAGGCGGUUUUGUAAGUCUGUCGUGAAAGCCCCGGGCUCAACCUGGGAAUUGCGAUGGAGACUGCAAGGCUUGAAUCUGGCAGAGGGGGGUAGAAUUCCACGUGUAGCAGUGAAAUGCGUAGAGAUGUGGAGGAACACCGAUGGCGAAGGCAGCCCCCUGGGUCAAGAUUGACGCUCAUGCACGAAAGCGUGGGGAGCAAACAGGAUUAGAUACCCUGGUAGUCCACGCCCUAAACGAUGUCUACUAGUUGUCGGGUUUUAAUUAACUUGGUAACGCACCUAACGCGUGAAGUAAACCGCCCGGGGAGUACGGUCGCAAGA